rnacentral:rRNA from 1 species
UACGUAGGAUCCGAGCGUUGUCCGGAUUUACUGGGUGUAAAGGGUGCGCAGGCGGACUGGUAAGUCAGUGGUGAAAUCUCGUCGCUUAACGACGAAACUGCCUUUGAUACUAUCAGUCUUGAAUCCGGUAGAGAUCUGUGGAAUUCCGAGUGUAGAAGUGAAAUGUGUAGAUAUUCGGAAGAACACCAGUGGCGAAGGCAGCAGAUUGGGCCGGUAUUGACGCUCAGGCACGAAAGCAUGGGGAGCAAACAGG